rnacentral:rRNA from 1 species
UACGAAGGGGGCUAGCGUUGCUCGGAAUCACUGGGCGUAAAGCGCACGUAGGCGGAUUGCUAAGUCAGGGGUGAAAUCCUGGAGCUCAACUCCAGAACUGCCUUUGAUACUGGCGAUCUCGAGUCCGGGAGAGGUGAGUGGAACUGCGAGUGUAGAGGUGAAAUUCGUAGAUAUUCGCAAGAACACCAGUGGCGAAGGCGGCUCACUGGCCCGGUACUGACGCUGAGGUGCGAAAGCGUGGGGAGCAAACAGGAUUAGAUACCCCUGUAGUCC